ACUACAAAAGAAAAACCAAUUAAUUGCAGACAUGCAAUUAACUAUAUUCUGAUUAAAAGUAAAUAAAUUACAAAACAAAAAUAAAGAAAUUGCGUAUUUGACAUAGUGCAACUUGUACAUGCUGCUAGUGCAAUUGUAAAAUACAUGUAAACAGUUUGAAUAUUAGGUUCCUGCAAGUAUUGCUACUCAAAACAAUAUCAGUUGAACUACCAGUUUUGAUGUGGUGAAGGGACAGAGGUGGCUAGGACUGGCUAUAAUCUCAAAUACUUAUUCUUUAUGAUGGUUCAACUUUAUCCUUGUGAAUGACAUAUCAUCAUUUAUUACUAAAUGCAGGCAAAGAAUAGGGCAAAAUUAAGACUGGAGUACAAAGUAUUACAGAUCACUUAAACUAUGGAUGGGAAUAACUUUCAGGUAAUGUAAAUUUCAAUACUUAUGUUUUGGUUUAUGAUAAAUCUAUUUUCCAUGUACUUGCUACAAAUACAGGUGAAUCUUGCUAAAUUUAACAUUACUGCAGGUACCAUAUACACAUGGAUGCGAAAACACACAAACAAACUUUGAUCUCACAACAACAGAUGGGAUAAAGAAGUGGCAAGAAACACUACAACUCAUGUACCAGACUAACCAGGUACUAGAUUAAAAUAUUGCUAAAAAAUCAUUUACCCAGUACAACUGGACAUAUGUCAACAAGUAUAUAUGUUGAAAUAGAUGCAGGGUUGAGGUGGACAAAAUACAUUUUCACAUUCUAUGUCAACAAAUCUAUCAGACAUCAGUUACAUUGACAGAAAUCAAUUACUUGAGGUAAAAAAGAAUUACAGAGAAGCAAUUAAAAAUUUAAGAAUAUCUAAUAAAAAUCAAAAUAAGUAUUUAAGUGCUCUAUUUUUUGUGAGCAAAAUAGUAUGUAUAUGACAACAAGCAGAGUUGAUGAUUAUCCAACAUCAAUGA
rnacentral:lncRNA from 1 species